UAGAGUAGGAUCUGAAAAUUCUUCACCGCAGUUCGCAGCAAAAUCUGUUGACUCGCUAGGUAUGCGUUGAAACGUGUGCAACUCCUCCGCUUGCCAGGGGCAGUAUACGUUCGCCAUUUGUGAAUUGUUCGUGUUUGCAGCAAUAAACUGAAGUCGAAUACUUUGAUGUGAUUGUACAACAUUUGAAAAUAUUCUACAGCAAGAACUGAACCUGAUCAUAAGAGCACUCAAGGUGCAAAAGGUGUCAAAAACUAUCUCCAUAAACAAAACGAGGAUUUUUCUAUCUUAGUUUUUUAUUUGCUUUUGUGUGUUUGUGGCUGCCCAAGUCUGGGGUGUAAGCUGAAGCAACGUCAAAGGAAAAGAGAAAAGUUUGGUGUAUGAUACAGUGAAUUGAAAGCAAAUCGAAAAUGUGUUGCAAAAGUAUGAUAAAAGCUAGCGGCAGAUGAUGGUACGAGCGAAAGAGCAUGCUAAUGGUAGCGCACAGAAGCAACGUUACGUCCGUUACGGCGGCGUAACGGAAGAUGCGCUUUAGUUUCGCAAACAUCUUUCGACCCGUGCGUCUCUGCCGUCUACGUGUAUGUGUACUUAUGCGUCCAUGUGUAUAAGUGUGUAAUAUGAUGUGGUGUGAGUGUGUGUAAGUGUGUGUUGGUAAAGGAAGAAUCCAACAGUGUGUAUGUGUGUAUGGGUGAGCUGUGCUGUGCGCGUACACAUUCUUCCAGUGUCGUCCUGUCAACCUGUUUUGACGUUGAUUCGCCGCUAUCGCCGCUUGGCUGCGGCCGGCAGUGGUAUAUUUUUCCGGUCAAAGGAACCGCCGGAGUUUUCGUUUAGUGUGUGUGCGUGCGCGCGUGUGCGAUAGUGAAGGCGUGCAGCGAAAAACAUUUUCCAGUGCGCUGCAAAACGAUAACAGAGCAAACGAUUGAAAAGGAGCCGUCUGCCGGUCGUUGAAAAGGAUCUUGGCAAGGAUACUUUCGCCGCCUGUUCUUCCUCAGUAAUGCUGUGUUUGUCUUGCAAUCAACUCGACUCGUAUUUGUAUUGGUGUAGUGUUGGCAUGCAUUGAAUGGACUCUUCUUACCGGUGCGCGACAAGCCUUCGAUUUGCGAGUACUGCAAAGUUUCAAGUAUUACUAGUGUCAACUUCAGCCAGGCGAUGUGGCAUGUGUUGUCAAUGACGAUGGUGCGUGAGAAACGAAUUAUAUUAGAUCCCCGGACCACGGUGCUCAGGGUUUCCUAGUGGAGAAGUUAAUGCUGUUUAAAUCGAUGGAUUCCGAACUGG